UCCCUCUUAGCUCAGUUGGUAGAGCGUGUCACUAGUAUUAGUUCAUGACGAGGUCAGUCGUUCAAGUCGGCUAGAGGGAA